UACGUAGGGUGCAAGCGUUGUCCGGAAUUAUUGGGCGUAAAGAGCUCGUAGGCGGUUUGUCGCGUCUGCUGUGAAAACCCGAGGCUCAACCUCGGGCCUGCAGUGGGUACGGGCAGACUAGAGUGCGGUAGGGGAGAUUGGAAUUCCUGGUGUAGCGGUGGAAUGCGCAGAUAUCAGGAGGUACACCAAUGGCGAAGGCAGAUCUCUGGGCCGUAACUGACACUGAGGAGCGAAAGCCAGGGGAGCAAACGGG
rnacentral:rRNA from 1 species